UUCCUCUUGCUUAUCUCUUUUCCCUCUUUCUGGAGCUUACACCCAAGUUCCCAAUCCUCAAGCUCCCUCUACCCCAACUCAAGCCUUCCUAGCUCACCGGCAUCAACUGCCAUCGGCCAGAAUUCCGUCUUCCUCUCCCCCCCACCCCCUGCCUCCCAUUCCCUCACGCCUGGCUUCCUCUAGGGAAAGGAGAAAUGGAAGUGUUAUCCCAGAUCUGCAAGUGAAAUUUCAGGGAAGUAGACAGUGUCCAUCAGUCAGUCAGGGGACUGAAGUCAUGGCCACUCCGCUCAAUUUGAAGCCUCACGCCUUUCUGUCAAAUCAGAUGUAAUGGUCCCAGGGGCAGUAACUAGCUUAGGGUUGGACCGAACUUCGACCUGUGCACCCCUCUAAGGAAGCUUUUGUUAGUUUCCAGACUCUUCUUAGGCUCCUGAGGGGUUUUCUGUCUUGGCAGGAGCCCUCAUCAGUAGCUUCCUUUAACGAUGUGCAUACGUUUGCCUCCUGCUGAAGGGAUGAGAAGACUAAGGUACAGAGCUGAAGUGACCUGCCAAAGGCCACAAAUCUUCUUGAACCCAUGAAGUGGAGCAAAAUAAGCUUGAAAGGAGAGAAAUCUAUUCUCUCCCAGAUCCGAAGGACAGAAGUCUGAAAAUGAGAUGUCUGCAGAGCCCUGCCACCUCCGAAGCCUCUAGGGGAGAAUCCUCCUCGCCUCUUCCAGCUUCAGUCCGUUAGCGGCAUCUCUAGGCUUACGGCUGCUGUACUCCAGUCUGCCUCUGUCUCUAGGUGGCCUUCCCCUCUUCUCCCUGUGUGUCACCCUGUGUGUGUGUCUUUUAUAAAGACAGUGGUCCUUGCAUUUAGGGCUUACUUAUAAUCCAACAUGAUCUCAUCUGCAGAGCUCCAUUUUCCAAAUAAAGUCACAUCCACAGUCUCCAGGGCUUAGGAUGUGACCAAAUCUUUUUUUUUUGGGGGGGAGGGUGGUGCCUACCAUUCAACCAAGG